GACGAACCGUGCGAACGUUGUUCGGAAUCACUGGGCUUAAAGGGCGCGUAGGCGGGCUGUCAAGUCCGGGGUGAAAUCCUCCCGCUCAACGGGAGAACGGCCUCGGAUACUGACGAUCUCGAGGGGGAUAGGGGCACGCGGAACUGUGGGUGGAGCGGUGAAAUGCGUUGAUAUCCAUAGGAACUCCGGUGGCGAAAGCGGCGUGCUGGAUCCCUUCUGACGCUGAUGCGCGAAAGCCAGGGGAGCAAACGGG
rnacentral:rRNA from 1 species